rnacentral:lncRNA from 1 species
GUUUAUUUAGUCUCUGACUCGAGCACUAAAACUGGCACAUAAGUUAAAAUAACAGGAGAGUCAGGCUGGCUGAGGAUUCCAAAUCUGUACUAGGAUCGUUAGACUGAAUUAAUAACAGGAGAGGAAGGAUGUCUACCCAUCAACCAGUCUGACUGAUCUCUCUCUCUCUCUCUACCCAUCAACCAGUCUGACUGAUCUCUCUCUCUCUCUCUACCCAUCAACCAGUCUGACUGAUCUCUCUCUCUCUACCCAUCAACCAGUCUGACUGAUCUCUCUCUCUCUCUACCCAUCAACCAGUCUGACUGAUCUCUCUCUACCCAUCAACCAGUCUGACUGAUCUCUCUCUCUCUACCCAUCAACCAGUCUGACUGAUCUCUCUCUCUCUCUACCCAUCAACCAGUCUGACUGAUCUCUCUCUCUCUCUACCCAUCAACCAGUCUGACUGAUCUCUCUCUACCCAUCAACCAGUCUGACUGAUCUCUCUCUCUCUCUCUACCCAUCAACCAGUCUGACUGAUCUCUCUCUCUCUCUCUACCCAUCAACCAGUCUGACUGAUCUCUCUCUCUCUCUCUCCCCAUCAACCAGUCUGACUGAUCUCUCUCUACCCAUCAACCAGUCUGACUGAUCUCUCUCUCUCUACCCAUCAACCAGUCUGACUGAUCUCUCUCUCUCUCUCUCCCCAUCAACCAGUCUGACUGAUCUCUCUCUACCCAUCAACCAGUCUGACUGAUCUCUCUCUACCCAUCAACCAGUCUGACUGAUCUCUCUCUACCCAUCAACCAGUCUGACUGAUCUCUCUCUCUCUCUCUCUACCCAUCAACCAGUCUGACUGAUCUCUCUCUCUCUCUCCCCCAUCAACCAUCUGACUGAUCUCUCUCUCUCUCUACCCAUCAACCAGUCUGACUGAUCUCUCUCUCUCUCUCUCUCUACCCAUCAACCAGUCUGACUGAUCUCUCUCUCUCUCUACCCAUCAACCAGUCUGACUGAUCUCUCUCUCUCUCUCUACCCAUCAACCAGUCUGACUGAUCUCUCUCUCUACCCAUCAACCAGUCUGACUGACAGACUAACAUCCAUCAACCUCUAAAAAAUAAAAAAAUAAAAGUAAAAAAAAAAAUCAACAUUGUGCAAGAAUAAUAUUUAGAGAGUUUUUUUCUUCUUCAAAUAACUUUC